GCACCUAAAAACUGUAAUAAAAUUUUCCAUCUCUUCUCUCUUCUCUUCUCUCUUCUUUGAGAGACCAGCCGCUCUUAACCCUCUCCAUUUUUGGUCCGACGCCGCUGCCGCUCUGGUGAGCAUGGCUGGCCGGUGGACUGUCGCUGCUCCUCUCUCAUUCUACAUACUAUGAGUCGCCCACCCCGCUCAAAUUUCUCUCAAGAUCUCUCUCUCUCUCUUUUGUGAGAUGGCUGCCGCUCAUCUCUCUUUCCCGCCACUGCUGCCUGUCACAGCCUCACCAGCGUGCUAUAGCUGGACACCAUCGGCACCCCCCAUUUGUUCCAUGACGCAUUUCAGAUCUACCGAGAUCUGGCUGGAGGAGAACGAACUUCGGCGCACCUUUUUCUCUUCUCCAUUUCUUAUUCAUUUAUUUGUAUGAUGUUAUGUCUAUUUUGUUUGUUGGAUUUUUGAUAGAUGGCCGGAUUCGAUUUUCCGGCAACCUAUACGCUUUUUCCGGUGACUUAGGGAUGUUUUUUUUUGCCUACUUUAGGUGCUAAAAGACCUCAAACCUUCUGCACUACAUCAUGGGAAAUGUUGGUUUGCCUCACUAUUUUUCAUCGAUUUUGGCUGGAGAUGUUUAGCCUCUUGGGUGUUAUUAGCUGUUGAAAUUAGUUUUCAUUAAUUUGGACUUCCACGCUAAAUGGGAUCCCAUUCCCUCUACUGAUUUUGUUGUUGAUACUAUGAUAGUCUUCUGAUUGAUUGUCGUAUCACGUUACUACUAUUCCGAUUGGAUCUUGAUGUCAGAUAUUGGCCGGAUUUGUACAGUAAGAUAAUAGUACAAGACUUAGGCCGUUGAAAAUAAUCUCCGCAUUAUUAAGGCCAUGAUGACCUGAAUGACCCUCCGAAUCGGGCUUGAAAUAAUGAGGCGAUGAUGAUAAAUAUCGAAAAAGAAAAUACGUGAGUGCGGCGAACCAAUAAACUUUGGAUGAUGACAUAGUUGGCCACCGUAGUCACAACCAAGGCGGUUUCCAUUUUUAUUUCUAAAUGGAAAUCAAAAAUACAAUCGGGGCCUCCUAUAAUAUGUUUAAAACUAUUUUCCAAAAACCUAUUAAAAAAAUAUUUUUUAAAGAAUUAAUUUCAGAAAUAUAUUUUACUUUUAUUUCUUUUAUGUUAUUUUAUUUCACUGACGUAUUUGUCUUUUUUUUUUGCGAGGUACCCUACCCCGAAGCUACUUUCGAGGACGACGUUUGGGGAAAUAUCAAAUGCCACACCCUUUCAAUUUCCCCGCCUCGUACUUCCCUUUCCUGUGUGUACUCAAAACAUAAACAUAGUAAAAUAUUAGUUAGUCGUCGUAGUUAUUUAUGUGUUCAUUUACAUGUGUUUGAUUGACACACUUAGAAUAACAUGCUUAGGCUAAUAAUCAGCUUUGCUCUUUAGUGUUUUAAUCUAAUUAAUCAUAAGUUGCAUCAAUACUUAGAACCUUGAAUAUGAUUUCAUGAUCAAAUUAAUUAAUUGAACUAGUUUGAUUAGAAUAGAUACACACUUGUGAACAUAUUAGUUUAGACUUAUGCGGAUGAUUGGUACGGAGCCCCGAGGGCUCAGGUGAGUUUCAGACACAUUUCAGAGUGGUUGGAAGAGUUUCAGUUUUGCUGAUUUUUGAAAUGGUGCUGCAGGUCUCGCAAAUAAGAGAUUUUGUUUGUAUUUGUGAGGUAGGAAUCGCAUUUGCAAAGUUCACUGGGGUCUGUCAGGUUCGCAUUUGGGAACAUAUGUUUUGCUUUUGCGGUGGGGGCCUGGGCUAAGCUUGUUUGCGUUUGCGAUCAUGAUGGUCAGUUUUUGAAGUGUUCGUCGUUAGCAUUUGCAAAUAUAUUGUCGCAUUUGCGAUAUUAUUAGGACUAUUAUGGAUGUCUCUUUUGCAAACAUUCUUCGCAUUUUAGGGGUUCGCAUUUGCGAACCCCAGAUCAGUUUUGCGACAUCUACGCCUAAACAUAGGGCUGGAAGUCGGGAUUUGCGAACCCCGGGUCGGUUUUGUGAUAUCUACGCCUGAAC
rnacentral:lncRNA from 1 species